rnacentral:snRNA from 1 species
GGAUAUGAGGGUGAUCUGACUGUGACAUCUGUCACCCCACUGAUCGCCAGAGAAGAUUUGGUUGAUCUGGCUGGCUAGGCAGGUGUCCCCAUCUUCCCUUACUGCUCCGUGUGCAUCCCUCCCAAAGCUGUGUGCUCAGUGGAGGAGGACGACCUUCCCCCAUACAGGAGGACAGAAGAGGACGUUUCUUUGGUCAAGGGUAUAAGAGUACCUGAGCUCCCCUGCUAACAAACUUUCAAGAUCCGUUUGUAGGAGAUCGUUGGGUAGUCAGGCUUCCAAGACUCCAGACGCAUCCAAAUGAGGCAUGGCAUAUGACAGUCUGCCUCUCUUA